rnacentral:rRNA from 1 species
UACGGAGGAUGCGAGCGUUAUCCGGAUUUAUUGGGUUUAAAGGGUGCGUAGGCGGUCGGAUAAGUUAGAGGUGAAAUCCCGAGGCUCAACUUCGGAAUUGCCUCUGAUACUGUUCGGCUAGAGAGUAGUUGCGGUAGGCGGAAUGUAUGGUGUAGCGGUGAAAUGCGUAGAUAUACGGAGGAACACCAGUGGCGAAGGCGGAUUGCUGGACAGUAACUGACGCUGAGGCGCGAAAGCGUGGGGAGCAAACAGG